rnacentral:lncRNA from 1 species
UUGCAUAAAGACUAAUAAAGUAAAGCAAAAGGCAAAAGUAAAUUCAGAUGGAAGAAAAAGAAGUUAGCUCUGUGCCUCCACAAUCACCAAAUGUUGCCGACAUCUCAGUAGCCUGGCUAUUUAAAUAGAGGUUCAUUUCACAUUGUAAAGUCAAGUUACAAUUUUAGUUUUCCAGUUUCAAAGUUCAUUCAGAAGUGUCCUUUUGAAGAACACAUGUAAAAUAUGAGUGUUAUCUAUCAAUAAAAUCUUUCAAUCAAGAUUUUCUGUAAGUUUGCAAUUUCAUUAUCAUCAUUAUUUUCAGUUAAAUAUUAUUGCAAUUUCAUUAUCAUCAUUAUUUUCAGUUAAAUAUUAUUGCAAUUUCAUUAUCAGUUUUAUUUAACUGCAGUUAUAUAUAUAUAAUAUGUUUUCAUCUCUCUGCAGUUUGCUAUUUUCUUCCUGUUCGUUUGUUAUUGUUUUGGUUCUACAAAGUUUCGGAUAUCAACAAUAGCCACUUCGUGAACUAAAUCAAAAGGCUAGAACUCAUUAACCAUUUAGAAAUCAAAACAGAAUUGAAGCUUUUAAAAUUACUUUCAUGGGUUAGGAUCAGUUUGAGUUGUACGUAACCCAAAUCCAUGAUAAGCUUCUCUAACCUUAAUUGAGAAGAAUGACAUUGACAAUAAAAAUUAACCUUACAUAUUUCUUACUUGAUUAUUGUGGCUUCAAAAUAGUGCUUCAACAAUCCAACAAGAAAAAUUGAAGAAAAAGAAUGAGAAGCGUAGCUCUGGACUAAGGGACAUGGAAGAUAAGGUGUGAAGAUGAAUGAUGGGAAGUAGAAGAAUGAGGAGAAAGAGAUGCGAACGUGAAAACAUAUGGGUUUUUUUUUUUUGGAAUUCUGAAAUUUUCGUUAAACUCUAGCGCCUCUCCAAACUGAUUGCCACAUAAUCAGAAAAUGAAAGCAUAUUUAUACCAGCCUUCCCUUAUAGCUUUCUUUUACAACCAUUUUUAACAAUAAGUUAUUUUCUUAUAGUUUACCAAACAAAGAUAGGCUUCCCAAAUUAAAAAAAAAUAAAAUAAAAUUAUUUUUUACUCCAAAUAAUCAACGCCAAAUAGACUCUUAAAGUGAUUAUAUAAAAAAAUAAUUCUUUAUAUUAAGUGAUUUUUGGCCCAUCAAAAAUUAAUGAACCAUAUAUCUAACAAAAGCUCCAAAUAAUUUUUGUUUUGUUUUAACAAAAGCUCCAAAAUAGUCCAAUGUUCCCCUAAAGACAAAAGCAAAAAACUCCGAGGAUCAAACAUCAAACGUAUAGUGGGAUUCCAUGUCUGAAGUGAACAUCUCAGCCGUCCAUGUAAUCCAUCAUCCAAUAAGAAUAGUGGUCAAUUUAAUUUAAUGACGGUAGAAGAGAGACCAGUUCAAAUAGGAGGAAACUAGAAACGAAGGACGACCAGAUGAGUGACUGAGUGGUGUCCAUCUUCUGUCUUCUGUGUUCAUUACUGAGAUUGAAAGAAAUAAAAGGAAAAAUCAGCAGUUUCGGUUUUCCAUGCAGAAGAUCUCCAUUCUCGAAAAACACCACUACGCCUCUACCUUAUUAUGGAAACGGUUGCUUUGAUACGAAUUGCAGGGCCCUCUAUUAUUUUAUAAUAUUUUAUUCAACUCACAUCGACCAAGUUGUGGGAUCCACAACAAACUACAAGGAAAACUCCAAGAGCGACCCCACUUUCUCUCUUUAACUACAACUCAAGGAGGAUGGACUGUUUCAAGAAAUUAAAUUAAAAGCAGUUUUACGCUUUGCGGAUAUCAAAGACUGACAUUUUAAGCAAAAGAUGGGACGCACAAAAUAACCAUUAGCUCCAUCACCAUCCCAUUCUCUGUCUCUGUCUGUCUCUACCCUCUGUAAAGUUUCUACGUUAAAAAGCCAUUCAAAGCUUUUUGUCUGAGAUGAAAAUGGCCUCGUUUUGAACCUGCUGCUGCUGCUGCAUUUGCAAGUUUCUGCUUUUACUACUUUUCACACGCUCGUGUCAUUUUCUAAUGGCUACCUAUUUCAUUGAAAGCAGCGAAGAAAAGAUUAUCAUAAGUAGUGGCGGUGGCAGUUGCAGUCCUUCCCUGUAAUCUUAAUGCUAAACGCCAAAAUCUGCUUUCAAUUUCUUAUUUUCCUUUUGUCAGUUAGAGGUUUACAACCGUACACUGUUACGGCUAAAUUAAAACAGCUGGCUUUCUUGUGACACAAUAAAGGAUUGCACGCUGCAUCAAACCUCACAGAUUUUAACCAAACUCAGGGGAUACGUACAUAUAAUAUAAUAUUAUAGUACAAAAAACUCACAAGGCCAAAAGAGGAAAUUAAAGGGCAAGAUUCUUUUACCGUUUGACAUCAUCAUCAUCAUCACCAUUUUGAUUCAGAUAUGGAUGGGCCUUUGUAGUACAAAAGAAUUCGGAUCACAUAGACCCCAAGAUGGAAAAAGCUAA